rnacentral:rRNA from 1 species
CGCGUAGGCGGUUCGUUAAGUGGGAUGUGAAAUCCCCGGGCUUAACCUGGGAAUUGCAUUUCAAACUGGCGAACUAGAGUGCGGUAGAGGGAGGUAGAAUUUCCUGUGUAGCGGUGAAAUGCGUAGAUAUAGGAAGGAAUACCAGUGGCGAAGGCGGCCUCCUGGAUCGACACUGACGCUGAGGCGCGAAAGCGUGGGGAGCAAACA